AUGCUCUUUGCGGAUGAUGUGGUGCUAGUUGACGAUAGUCGGACGGGGGUAAAUAGGAAGUUAGAGUUAUGGAGACAAACCUUGGAAUCGAAAGGGUUUAGGCUUAGUAGAACUAAAACCGAGUACAUGAUGUGCGGUUUCAGUACUACUAGGUGUGAGGAGGAGGAGGUUAGCCUUGAUGGCCAGGUGGUACCCCAGAAGGACACAUUUCGGUAUUUGGGGUCAAUGCUGCAGGAGGAUGGGGGUAUUGAUGAAGAUGUGAACCACCGAAUCGAAGCCGGAUGGAUGAAGUGGCGCCAAGCUUCUGGCAUUCUCUGUGACAAGAGAGUGCCACAAAAGCUAAAAGGCAAGUUCUACAGGAUGGCGGUUCGACCCGCAAUGUUGUAUGGCGCUGAGCGCUGGCCGACUAAAAGGUGA
rnacentral:rRNA from 1 species